rnacentral:tRNA from 1 species
AAAAAGAUAAGCUAAUUUAAGCUAUUGGGUUCAUACCCCACCUAUAAAGAUCCCCCCCUUUUCUUUUUA